GGGGGCGCUAAACACUGAGGUUUAAUGUGUUUAGCAAACAAACGCAUGAGGAAGAAGAUCAGUUUCAGCUGAGCAGAGUCUUCUGAGGAGAGUUCAGCAGCUCACGUGAAGCUCCUCCCACUGCAACACAUCAUCAGUGAAGCUCCUCCCACUGCAACACAUCAUCAGUGAAGCUCCUCCCACUGCAACACAUCAUCAGUGAAGCUCCUCCCACUGCAACACAUCAUCAGUGAAGCUCCUCCCACUGCAACACAUCAUCAGUGAAGCUCCUCCCACUGCAACACAUCAUCAGUGAAGCUCCUCCCACAGUAGUUCAGCAAUAAAUGCUGGAAUAUCUCCAUCAGUUCACAAGUGAAGACGAGCAUCUAAUCAUCAGGAAGAGCUGAAAUCUGCAAAGACUGAGUUUAUUAAAGAGGACAGAGAGAAGAUGAGAGAUCCAGAGCCCUGCAGAAUCAAACACACUGAAGAUACUGAAGAACUAACAGAGUUAAAUGAAGAAUUGAGUGAAAUUGAGGAGAAAAAUCAUGUCAAAAGUAGAGAAAAACCUUCGAGUUGCUCUCAAACUAAACAGAAAGAUUUAAAGAAAAGAAGAGCCAAGAAAUCUUUCACCUGCUCUCAGUGUGGAAAGAGUUUCACAAGCAAACGUAAUCUUGAGCGUCACAUGAGAGUUCAUACACUUGUGAUCAGUGCGGGAAGAGUUUCACACAAUCAUCACACCUUAAGAUACACAUGAAUAUCCACACUAGAGAGAAACUGUACUCGUGUGAUCAAUGCAGCAAAACAUUUUUGUGGGCUUCAGACCUGAAGCAGCACCU
rnacentral:lncRNA from 1 species